rnacentral:rRNA from 1 species
AACGAACGCUGGCGGCAGGCCUAACACAUGCAAGUCGAGCGAAGCCUUCGGGCUUAGCGGCGGACGGGUGAGUAACGCGUGGGAACGUGCCCCUUGCUACGGAAUAGCCCCGGGAAACUGGGAGUAAUACCGUAUGUGCCCUUCGGGGGAAAGAUUUAUCGGCAAAGGAUCGGCCCGCGUUGGAUUAGGUAGUUGGUGGGGUAAUGGCCUACCAAGCCUACGAUCCAUAGCUGGUUUGAGAGGAUGAUCAGCCACACUGGGACUGAGACACGGCCCAGACUCCUACGGGAGGCAGCAGUGGGGAAUCUUAGACAAUGGGGGAAACCCUGAUCUAGCCAUGCCGCGUGAUCGAUGAAGGCCUUAGGGUUGUAAAGAUCUUUCAGUGGGGAAGAUAAUGACUGUACCCACAGAAGAAGCCCCGGCUAACUCCGUGCCAGCCGCCGCCGUAAUAC